rnacentral:lncRNA from 1 species
AAUCAAGUACCCACUCGUGUUUAGUAGCUUUCUGGCUAGCCACUAAUACCAAUGGUUCCUCAUUCUCUUCUGCUAUGUUGACCGAAUUUGAUGGCUUCUGAUUUUUUCUUUCUAGACACUCCCUUUUAAAGUGUCCUUCCUUGCCACACGUCCAACAUUCUUUAGAGAACUUAGGUCUUGAUUUUGAUCUGUUUUUGCUCUUAGAUAUAGCUCUCCAAGUCUUGUCGUUCUUCUUCUCACCUAUGCCUCUAUUGUCGCUAGCAAACAG